GUUAAGCGACUAAGCGUACACGGUGGAUGCCCUGGCAGUCAGAGGCGAUGAAGGGCGUGCUAAUCUGCGAUAAGCGCCGGUAAGGUGAUAUGAACCGUUAUAACCGGCGAUACCCGAAUGGGGAAACCCAGUGUGACUCGUCACACUAUCAUUAACUGAAUCCAUAGGUUAAUGAGGCGAACCGGGGGAACUGAAACAUCUAAGUACCCCGAGGAAAAGAAAUCAACCGAGAUUCCCCCAGUAGCGGCGAGCGAACGGGGAGGAGCCCAGAGCCUGAAUCAGCAUGUGUGUUAGUGGAAGCGUCUGGAAAGGCGCGCGAUACAGGGUGACAGCCCCGUACACAAAAGCGCAUGUGCUGUGAGCUCGAUGAGUAGGGCGGGACACGUGGUAUCCUGUCUGAAUAUGGGGGGACCAUCCUCCAAGGCUAAAUACUCCUGACUGACCGAUAGUGAACCAGUACCGUGAGGGAAAGGCGAAAAGAACCCCGGCGAGGGGAGUGAAAAAGAACCUGAAACCGUGUACGUACAAGCAGUGGGAGCACAGGUUUACCUG
rnacentral:rRNA from 1 species